GCGACAUCAGCCAAGCGAGACUA
rnacentral:rRNA from 1 species